rfam:Myotis davidii contig5173, whole genome shotgun sequence.
GUGCUCGUGUCAACAGCACAUAUACUAAAAUUGGAACGAUACGGAGAAGAUUAGCAUGGCCCCUACUCAAGGAUGACUCACAAAUUUUUGAAGCGUUCCAUAUUUUU